rnacentral:tRNA from 1 species
UAGGGGGUAGUAUAGGUGGAAAUACUAAAAAUUUUGGAUUUUUAAAUGGAGGUUCGAGUCCUCUCUCUCUAU